GCAAAACUCAAAAACUUGUCUCAGUUCGGAUUNUAGGCUGAAACUCGCCUACAUGAAGCUGGAGUUGCUAGUAAUCGCGAAUCAGCAUGUCGCGGUGAAUACGUUCCCGGGUCUUGUACACACCGCCCGUCACACCAUGAGAGUUGGCAAUACCCAACGUACGUGAUCUAACCCGCAAGGGAGGAAGCGUCCUAAGGUAGGGUCAGCGAUUGGGGUGAAGUCGUAACAAGGUAGC
rnacentral:rRNA from 1 species